rnacentral:lncRNA from 1 species
UUUUUUAAUUGUUAGGGACUACCCGCGCGAAACAGAUACAAACAAUGAAAACGAGGAUUUUAGUAUGACUGAGACUCAGUCAUUAGUACAAGGCGAAGGAAUUGAAGAAUUUAUGUCCGAGACUCCAACAUGGAUGCGCUCUAACUCUUCUUAAUUGAGAAAAUUUUAACUUACCUCAAAUAAUUACUUUGUUAUCAUGUUCUUUAGCCACGUUUAACUUUUAGUUUAUGGUUUUAUUUUUGCAAGAGUACUCUUAAAGUAUAUGAAGCUACCUUGUUGAACCUUGCCAUAUGAAGUAGUUUUUUUUUUUUUUUUUUUUUUAAAGUUCAUAUUUGACUAUAUAUGAUUCAGAAUUUGUGAACUUGGGAUACAAAUGUUGGAAAAAAUUAAUUAGUUGCAGUAGUGAUCUGAACAAUAUAAUGCAGAAAUAUAAAACUUAUCGUCCCAUCGAGUCUCGUGACAGCACGAU